rnacentral:piRNA from 1 species
UAUGCACAAGUAGAAGACCCU